rnacentral:sRNA from 1 species
GCUCAGGAAGCUGGAGAACAGGAGAGAAGGGCAGCGUGGCAGCAGUGGAGCGGGGCAGCAGGGAUUUUGCUGCACACUCUGGAGAGGGACUACCUGGUUCAAACUCCACCCCACUGCUCACGGGCUCUGGGAUACCGGAUUCGAGAUUACGGUGAGCCCUUUCAGGAAGCAAUGUGGUUGGACCUGGUUAAGGAAAGGCUGAUUACGGAAAUGUACACGGUGGCAUGGUUUGUGCGAGACAUGCGCCUGAUGUUUCGCAACCAUAAAACAUUUUACAAGGCUUCUGACUUUGGCCAGGUAGGACUUGACUUAGAGGCAGAAUUUGAAAAAGAUCUCAAAGACGUGCUCGGUUUUCAUGAAGCCAAUGACGGCGGUUUCUGGACUCUUCCUUGACCCUGUUCUGUAAAGACUGAAGCAUCCCCACCUCAGGAUUCAGCUGAUGGGACCCUGGCUUGGACUGUUGAUUGCCAGUGAGUCUGGGAUGUAAUUGGCUGCCCUCAGGACCCAACUCCAGACACUUCAUAGGAUUAUCACACCCUCCAUCUUUAUUCUUUCUUUUUACCUUUAAAAGUCUAUAUCUACACUAAAAAAAAAAAAA